rnacentral:rRNA from 1 species
AGUGAGCGGCAACAGCUCAAUUUGAAAGCUGGCUCCCUCGGGCUCCUUGUUGUUUUUUGAAGAUGAUGCUUCCGGCGCGCCCCCCGACUUCCUGGCCUGGGACGGGCCUUCAGAGAGGGAGACACUCCCGGCCGUGAGGGGGUGCCCUGGGCCGUGUGAUCCUCCAUCCAAGAGUCUUGUUAUUUGGGAAUA